GAAACAAUCUACGUACCGUGGUACGUAAACUGUUUCUAGGUGCAGUGAGCGCGCAGUGCGGGCGGUACGCAGUCACGGAAACACGUGAAAGAGAGAAUUUGAUAGUUCUCUAGAAUCGUUGAACGAGAGGCAUGUCCCGGCGAAAAAUCAGGCGGUUAACGAUUCUGAUUGUGUCCGGCGAACCGAACGGUCAAAAACGGGUCGCUCCCUAAUAAUCUCAGUCGAGUUGUAGUGCUAGAUCGCCAUUGUCAAAUUGUAUCAAACUUUAUACUGUCUAAUAAAUUACGUUAAACUUUACGUUAACCUGUAAAGAUGAGAGCGUGUGAGUUUGAUUGUUACAUUCCGCUAAUUGCCGUUUGAGGAGCAUAUUUGUUGUCGUACCGUGAGGACAGUUGCCCUUGGUUCGUAUCGUGAAAAGAAAGAUAACAUUGAGACAUUUGUGAGAAUUUGUCGGUCGUGUCGUGUUGUUCACGUGUCGGGAAGGGAAACAAAGGAUAAGAUGACUACUGAACUUUUAUUGUAGAUUCCCUUUCAAAUUAUAAACCGUCGUGUCGAACAUUUUUGUGUAUGUAUGACAAGCAAGAACAUAUGCAUAUAUGGUCUACAUCUAAAGUAUAAUAACAAGACAAAUAAGUAAUAAAACUAUAUCUCAGAAUGGGACGUUAUUGCAUUAUAUGUAAGUCAACAAACCGUAGCACACACACACACAAAAUAUCUCUUCACGCAUUUCCUAAAGAUAUAAUACAAAGACGUAAAUGGUUCAAGUUUUGUCAAAUUGAUGAAACAAAAAUAAACUCUUCCACUAUGCUUUGUAAUAAACAUUUCAAAGAAGAAGACUUUUUACAUAGAGUUGGAGACAACAUAUUAAUAUUAAAGAAAGAUGCAGUACCAUCUGUCAUGAAAUUAAGCAAAUGCAAGGAGAGAUUGUACCAAAAAAUGAUCGAUUCACUGGAACAUUUCGACGAUGCAAAUAAUACAAGUAUGAAAUUGAUAAACAAAAAAUCAGAAAUUGUAUAUUACAUUUAGAAUUUGAAUAUUUGGAUAAUAAUAAAAUAUUAAAUGUACCUGCAAAAGAAGAUAAUAAUGAAGAAGGCAUUACUUCUUUUAUAACUGAAGAUUGUAAAAUAGAACCUAAAAUAUGUCAACAAUCGAUUAAUAUAGAUUCAAACAAGACAAACAAUAAAAAUAAUACAAAUCUAAUGACAGAAGAUUUAUGUAUAAAACGAAAUAUUGAUAAAACCAUAAGAUGUACUAAAACAUUAAGAUAUUUUGGUGAUAUUAAAACAUGUCUUAUAACAACUCCAAACCAAGCUAAAAGAGCUUUAGAUGUUGCUGCGAGGACGAUAUCACGAUACAGAAAAAAAAUUCAGACAUUACAAAAAGCAUCUAACAGAUAUAGAAAAAAAAUUAAGUCUUUAAAAGAUUUGGUGCAACAAUUAAGAAAAAAAAAUUUAGUCACUGAAAAUGCUGCAGAAGUUUUAUUAACAAAUAAUAGAAAUCAAUAAAGAUAGCUCCAAAAGUUUUUACUUAUAUAGACAGAUGUGUGGUGAUUGGCUGACAAAAUAAUGUCUUCAAUAAAUGGACUAAAUGUCAAGAAACUUGA